rnacentral:rRNA from 1 species
UGGGGAAUUUUGGGCAAUGGCCGCAAGGCUGACCCAGCGAACGCCGCGGUGUGGGAUGACGCCUUUCGGGGUGUAAACCACUGUCAGAGGGGAAGGAAUGAGUCAGGUGUAAAUAAUGCCUGGCUGUGACGGUACCCUCAAAGGAAGCACCGGCUAACUCCGUGCCAGCAGCCGCGGUAAUACGGAGGGUGCAAGCGUUGUUCGGAUUUACUGGGCGUAAAGCGCGCGCAGGUGGGUGUACAAGUCGGAAGUGAAAUCUUGAGGCUCAACCUCGAGGCUGCUCCCGAAACUGUACGCCUAGGGACUGGUAGAGGCUGGUAGAAUUCCCGGUGUAGCGGUGGAAUGCGUAGAGAUCGGGAAGAAUACCCGUGGCGAAGGCGGCCAGCUGGGCCAGGUCCGACACUGAGGCGCGAAAGCGUGGGGAGCAAACAGGAUUAGAUACCCUGGUAGUCCACGCCGUAAACGAUGGGCACUAGGCGCUGGUGGGAGCGACCCCUUCAGUGCCGUAG